rnacentral:rRNA from 1 species
UGGCGACCGGCGCACGGGUGAGUAACGCGUAUCCAACCUGCCCUUUACUAUGGGACAGCCCGUCGAAAGGCGGAUUAAUACCGUAUGUUGUCAUGUUGAUGCAUAUUUUCAUGACCAAAGGCUUCGGCCGGUAAAGGAUGGGGAUGCGUCUGAUUAGCUUGCCGGCGGGGUAACGGCCCACCGGGGCGACGAUCAGUAGGGGUUCUGAGAGGAAGGUCCCCCACAUUGGACUGAGACACGGUCCAAACUCCUACGGAAGGCAGCAG